UAGGAACCACCUUUGGUGGGAAGGUAAACUGUGUUCCCUGCGCCUGCGGUGUUUAGUCAUGCUGGUCACAUGUCCACAGAGACAGCUUCGGAUGGCUAUGGCUCUUCGGCUUUGAGCACCGCCCCCUAGAGUCGGGAACAACUAGCACAUAUGUGAGUGGGAAACUACCAAAUCCUUGUGUUAUUUGAGGAAUUUCCUAGGCACAGUGUCAAAUUUAAUCUUUCCUUCACCCAGAACAGUUGCCUGAAGUCAUAAUAGAGUGAGAAGCCGGACCUAAAGGAUUUGUGUGUGCUUAUUGUUGUUUGGUCUCUUCGUAAGGAGGCACUGGCUCCUGAAAU